rnacentral:rRNA from 1 species
CUUUUGAUAUUAAUUUAAGGUCUAGCCUGCCCAAUGAGAUUUUAAAUGGCCGCGGUAUUUUGACUGUGCAAAGGUAGCAUAAUCAAUAGUUUUUUAAUUGAAAGCUGGAAUGAAAGGUUUGAUGAGAAAAUUUCUGUCUCUGUUUAAAUUUUAUAUAAAUUUAUUUUUCAGUAAAAAAGCUUAAAUAUUAAUAAAAGACGAGAAGACCCUAUAGAGUUUUAUUAAUUUUAAAAAUUAAAUUUUUAGUAUUUAAAGUUUUAUUUUUAAGAUUAAUUUAAUUGGGGUGAUUGANAAAUUUAUUAAACUUUUWUUUUAUUUUUACAUUAAUUUAUGAUUUUUUGAUCCUWAUUUAGAUUAGAAGUUAAAAUUACCUUAGGGAUAACAGCGUAAUUCUUUUAGAGAGUUCUAAUCGAAAAAAGAGAUUGCGNNCUCGAUGUUGGAUUAAAAUUUAAAUUUGGUGUAGGAGCUAAA